AAGGUAGAGUCUGUUGUUCCUGACAACAUGGACAAUGGUAUCAUGUAGGUUUCCUAGUCUACAAAAGGUAAAGUCUGUUGUUCCUGACAAUAGUAUCAUGUAGGUUUCCUAGUCUUCAAAAGGUAAAGUCUGUUGUUCCUGACAACAUGGACAAUAGUAUCAUGUAGGUUUCCUUGUCUACAAAAGGUAAAGUCUGUUGUUCUUGACAGUAGUACCAUGUAGGUUUGUUUAUUUGUUUGGUUGUUUUUUGGGGUACAAAAUAAUGAAGUCCACUGUUUACUACAGAUAUGAAUUAUCUAUUUACCAGCAGUUAUGCAUCUUUUGUACUUUAUUUAACAUAAUAUGUGCCCCAGGUGCUUAGGAAAUUGACAAAGUUGUGUGCUUGUUAAAAUUAUGCACAAGUUAAAUUUGUUUCCUUGAUAGAGCAGUUCAAGUUGUGAAAAAAGUUAAUUUAAAUGUUGAUGAAAUGCUAAAACAUUUUUGAUAAUAGUUUUACUAGGUAAUUAUAUACACCUUCUGUAUUGCUUUUU